ensembl:lncRNA
GGACAUCCUGGGGUCACUGGAUCUCUCUGUGAGAGGGAUGACCAAACUCCUGUGGCCACGGCUGCUGCUGUACGUGGUGCCAGCCCAGUACACCGGCAUGCUGAUCCCGGUCUCCCGCUGUGUCCAAGCACUGGCUGAGAGAGGGGACCUGAUGGUGCGGGAGGUGGAAGAACUGGAUGCCCAUUUCCUCAGCUCCAUGUUUCAAGGCCCACUGCUGACUCCCCAGACACUGCUGGCACGCCUGUUGGUGGUGGCAGGGAGCCCUUUUGCAGGCAGCGAACUCCAAGCCGCUGCCUUGCUGCUCAUGCAAAACCUCCACAGCAGGAUCCACAGAGCUGUGGGGGCCAUGUGGGCCGCUGAGAUCCCCCUGCUGCUGCAGUGCCUCCAAGG